UUUUUCUGCACCAAAAAAGGCCUCGUCCAGACGACGCGGAGCAGCUUGAGGAGGCAUCAAACAGUGCUGAACAACCCAGUGCUUCUCAGGGGCCGGGCUGUUCAGGAGAGAUACUGAUUAAUAUAGGCCAGGAGGACAGCAGACAAAAUGUUGCUGAAACAACAGGUCAUCCAACCCUACAUUACUGGCCUGGAGACAGAACUGAAAAGGAGGUUCCAGGAGCUGGACAUCCUAGGAGCCUUCCA